rnacentral:tRNA from 1 species
GCGCUCGUGGUGUAGCCUGGUUAACACAUUCCCCUGUCACGGGAAAGAUCGCCGGUUCAAAUCCGGUCGAGCGCG